GGAGGAAGAACUGAAGAAGAAAGAGGAAGUAAAAAAGGCAGAUGAGGAAGUGAAUUGAAUUUUUCCAAGUCUUGGUUUUAUAUAAAGAAAAGAAAACUGAGGACUCAGGCUUGAAACAACUAUUAGUCCCGGUGCAAGAAAUUUACUGGGAAAAUCCAGGCAGAAAUAGAAAAGGGGGUUUUUGACAAAAAAAAAAAAAAAAAAGGUAGAAAAGGGGUAGGAA